rnacentral:rRNA from 1 species
UACGUAGGGUGCAAGCGUUGUCCGGAAUCAUUGGGCGUAAAGCGCGCGUAGGUGGUCCUGUAAGUCCGCUGUGAAAGUCAAAGGCUCAACCUUUGAAAGCCGGUGGAUACUGCGGGACUAGAGUACGGGAGAGGCGAGUGGAAUUCCUGGUGUAGCGGUGGAAUGCGCAGAUAUCAGGAGGAACACCAAUAGCGAAGGCAGCUCGCUGGGACGUUACUGACACUGAGGCGCGAAAGCGUGGGGAGCGAACAGG